rnacentral:rRNA from 1 species
AAUCAACGCUGGCGGCGUGCCUCAGACAUGCAAGUCGAACGAUUUAAAGGCCCCUUCGGGGGUGGUAUAGAGUGCGCACGGGUGAGUAACACGUAAGUAAUCUACCCUCGAGUGGGGAAUAACGUCCGGAAACGGACGCUAAUACCGCAUAAUGCAGCGGCACCGCAAGGUGACAGUUAGUUAAAGGAGUAAUUCGCUUGAGGAGGAGCUUGCGGCAGAUUAGCUUGUUGGUAAGGUAACGGCUUACCAAGGCUACGAUCUGUAACCGGUCUUAGAGGACGGUCGGUCACACUGACACUGAAUAACGGGUCAGACUCCUAC